rnacentral:tRNA from 8 species
UGCCCGGAUAGCUCAGUCGGUAGAGCAGGGGAUUGAAAAUCCCCGUGUCCUUGGUUCGAUUCCGAGUCCGGGCACCAU